UACGGAGGGUGCAAGCGUUGUCCGGAUUCAUUGGGUUUAAAGGGUGCGCAGGCGGGACAUUAAGUCAGGGGUGAAAGACGGUUGCUCAACAAUCGCAGUGCCUUUGAUACUGGUGUUCUUGGGUGACCUUGAGGUAGGCGGAAUGGGUGGUGUAGCGGUGAAAUGCAUAGAUACCACCCAGAACUCCGAUUGCGAAGGCAGCCUACUGGAGGUUUACCGACGCUCAGGCACGAAAGCGUGGGGGAGUCAAAACAGGA
rnacentral:rRNA from 1 species